UACAGAGGUCUCAAGCGUUGUUCGGAUUCAUUGGGCGUAAAGGGUGCGUAGGUGGCGCGGUAAGUCGGGUGUGAAAUCUCGGAGCUUAACUCCGAAAUUGCAUUCGAUACUGCCGUGCUCGAGGACUGGAGAGGAGACUGGAAUUCAUGGUGUAGCAGUGAAAUGCGUAGAGAUCAUGAGGAAGACCAGUGGCGAAGGCGGGUCUCUGGACAGUUCCUGACACUGAGGCGCGAAAGCGUGGGGAGCGAACAGG
rnacentral:rRNA from 1 species